rnacentral:rRNA from 1 species
GACGAACGCUGGCGGCGUGCUUAACACAUGCAAGUCGAACGAUGAAGCACCAGCUUGCUGGUGUGGAUUAGUGGCGAACGGGUGAGUAACACGUGAGUAACCUGCCCCUCACUCUGGGAUAAGCCUGGGAAACUGGGUCUAAUACUGGAUACGACCGAUCUCCGCAUGGAGUGUUGGUGGAAAGUUUUUGUGGUGGGGGAUGUACUCGCGGCCUAUCAGCUUGUUGGUGGGGUAGUGGCCUACCAAGGCGACGACGGGUAGCCGGCCUGAGAGGGCGACCGGCCACACUGGGACUGAGACACGGCCCAGACUCCUACGGGAGGCAGCAGUGGGGAAUAUUGCACAAUGGGCGAAAGCCUGAUGCAGCGACGCCGCGUGAGGGAUGACGGCCUUCGGGUUGUAAACCUCUUUCACCAGGGACGAAGCUAACGUGACGGUACCUGGAGAAGAAGCACCGGCUAACUACGUG